rnacentral:rRNA from 1 species
UACGGGGGGGGCAAGCGUUGUUCGGAAUUACUGGGCGUAAAGGGCUCGUAGGCGGCCAACUAAGUCAGACGUGAAAUCCCUCGGCUUAACCGGGGAACUGCGUCUGAUACUGGUUGGCUUGAAUCCGGGAGAGGGAUGUGGAAUUCCAGGUGUAGCGGUGAAAUGCGUAGAUAUCUGGAGGAACACCGGUGGCGAAGGCGGCAUCCUGGACCGGUAUUGACGCUGAGGCACGAAAGCGUGGGGAGCAAACAGG